CUCUGUCCCUACACGACUCUCCUCCUGUCUAACCCUCUGGCCCAUUCCUUGUGUUCUCUCCCUCUCCAGGUCCUGCUAAUAUGACAGUGACUCUUAAAGGGUAAAUGGAUUCUUUCCCCCCAGA